UGGGGAAUAUUGCACAAUGGGCGCAAGCCUGAUGCAGCGACGCCGCGUGGGGGAUGAAGGCCUUCGGGUUGUAAACUCCUUUCGCUAGGGACGAAGCCUAUGGUGACGGUACCUGGAGAAGAAGCACCGGCUAACUACGUGCCAGCAGCCGCGGUAAUACGUAGGGUGCGAGCGUUGUCCGGAAUUACUGGGCGUAAAGAGCUCGUAGGUGGUUUGUCGCGUCGUCUGUGAAAUCCCGGGGCUUAACUUCGGGCGUGCAGGCGAUACGGGCAUAACUUGAGUGCUGUAGGGGAGACUGGAAUUCCUGGUGUAGCGGUGAAAUGCGCAGAUAUCAGGAGGAACACCAAUGGCGAAGGCAGGUCUCUGGGCAGUAACUGACGCUGAGGAGCGAAAGCAUGGGUAGCGAACAGG
rnacentral:rRNA from 6 species